rnacentral:rRNA from 1 species
GGUUAAGCGACUAAGCGUACACGGUGGAUGCCCUGGCAGUCAGAGGCGAUGAAGGACGUGCUAAUCUGCGAUAAGCGUCGGUAAGGUGAUAUGAACCGUUAUAACCGGCGAUUUCCGAAUGGGGAAACCCAGUGUGAUUCGUCACACUAUCAUUAACUGAAUCCAUAGGUUAAUGAGGCGAACCGGGGGAACUGAAACAUCUAAGUACCCCGAGGAAAAGAAAUCAACCGAGAUUCCCCCAGUAGCGGCGAGCGAACGGGGAGCAGCCCAGAGCCUGAAUCAGUGUGUGUGUUAGUGGAAGCGUCUGGAAAGACGCGCGAUACAGGGUGACAGCCCCGUACACAAAAAUGCACAUACUGUGAGCUCGAUGAGUAGGGCGGGACACGUGGUAUCCUGUCUGAAUAUGGGGGGACCAUCCUCCAAGGCUAAAUACUCCUGACUGACCGAUAGUGAACCAGUACCGUGAGGGAAAGGCGAAAAGAACCCCGGCGAGGGGAGUGAAAAAGAACCUGAAACCGUGUACGUACAAGCAGUGGGAGCACAGAGCAAUCUGUGUGACUGCGUACCUUUUGUAUAAUGGGUCAGCGACUUAUAUUCUGUAGCAAGGUUAACCGAAUAGGGGAGCCGAAGGGAAACCGAGUCUUAACUGGGCGUUAAGUUGCAGGGUAUAGACCCGAAACCCGGUGAUCUAGCCAUGGGCAGGUUGAAGGUUGGGUAACACUAACUGGAGGACCGAACCGACUAAUGUUGAAAAAUUAGCGGAUGACUUGUGGCUGGGGGUGAAAGGCCAAUCAAACCGGGAGAUAGCUGGUUCUCCCCGAAAGCUAUUUAGGUAGCGCCUCGUGAAUUCAUCUCCGGGGUAGAGCACUGUUUCGGCAAGGGGGUCAUCCCGACUUACCAACCCGAUGCAAACUGCGAAUACCGGAGAAUGUUAUCACGGGAGACACACGGCGGGUGCUAACGUCCGUCGUGAAGAGGGAAACAACCCAGACCGCCAGCUAAGGUCCCAAAGUCAUGGUUAAGUGGGAAACGAUGUGGGAAGGCCCAGACAGCCAGGAUGUUGGCUUAGAAGCAGCCAUCAUUUAAAGAAAGCGUAAUAGCUCACUGGUCGAGUCGGCCUGCGCGGAAGAUGUAACGGGGCUAAACCAUGCACCGAAGCUGCGGCAGCGACGCUUAUGCGUUGUUGGGUAGGGGAGCGUUCUGUAAGCCUGCGAAGGUGUGCUGUGAGGCAUGCUGGAGGUAUCAGAAGUGCGAAUGCUGACAUAAGUAACGAUAAAGCGGGUGAAAAGCCCGCUCGCCGGAAGACCAAGGGUUCCUGUCCAACGUUAAUCGGGGCAGGGUGAGUCGACCCCUAAGGCGAGGCCGAAAGGCGUAGUCGAUGGGAAACAGGUUAAUAUUCCUGUACUUGGUGUUACUGCGAAGGGGGGACGGAGAAGGCUAUGUUGGCCGGGCGACGGUUGUCCCGGUUUAAGCGUGUAGGCUGGUUUUCCAGGCAAAUCCGGAAAAUCAAGGCUGAGGCGUGAUGACGAGGCACUACGGUGCUGAAGCAACAAAUGCCCUGCUUCCAGGAAAAGCCUCUAAGCAUCAGGUAACAUCAAAUCGUACCCCAAACCGACACAGGUGGUCAGGUAGAGAAUACCAAGGCGCUUGAGAGAACUCGGGUGAAGGAACUAGGCAAAAUGGUGCCGUAACUUCGGGAGAAGGCACGCUGAUAUGUAGGUGAAGUCCCUCGCGGAUGGAGCUGAAAUCAGUCGAAGAUACCAGCUGGCUGCAACUGUUUAUUAAAAACACAGCACUGUGCAAACACGAAAGUGGACGUAUACGGUGUGACGCCUGCCCGGUGCCGGAAGGUUAAUUGAUGGGGUUAGCGCAAGCGAAGCUCUUGAUCGAAGCCCCGGUAAACGGCGGCCGUAACUAUAACGGUCCUAAGGUAGCGAAAUUCCUUGUCGGGUAAGUUCCGACCUGCACGAAUGGCGUAAUGAUGGCCAGGCUGUCUCCACCCGAGACUCAGUGAAAUUGAACUCGCUGUGAAGAUGCAGUGUACCCGCGGCAAGACGGAAAGACCCCGUGAACCUUUACUAUAGCUUGACACUGAACAUUGAGCCUUGAUGUGUAGGAUAGGUGGGAGGCUUUGAAGUGUGGACGCCAGUCUGCAUGGAGCCGGCCUUGAAAUACCACCCUUUAAUGUUUGAUGUUCUAACGUUGACCCGUGAUCCGGGUUGCGGACAGUGUCUGGUGGGUAGUUUGACUGGGGCGGUCUCCUCCUAAAGAGUAACGGAGGAGCACGAAGGUUGGCUAAUCCUGGUCGGACAUCAGGAGGUUAGUGCAAUGGCAUAAGCCAGCUUGACUGCGAGCGUGACGGCGCGAGCAGGUGCGAAAGCAGGUCAUAGUGAUCCGGUGGUUCUGAAUGGAAGGGCCAUCGCUCAACGGAUAAAAGGUACUCCGGGGAUAACAGGCUGAUACCGCCCAAGAGUUCAUAUCGACGGCGGUGUUUGGCACCUCGAUGUCGGCUCAUCACAUCCUGGGGCUGAAGUAGGUCCCAAGGGUAUGGCUGUUCGCCAUUUAAAGUGGUACGCGAGCUGGGUUUAGAACGUCGUGAGACAGUUCGGUCCCUAUCUGCCGUGGGCGCUGGAGAAUUGAGGGGGGCUGCUCCUAGUACGAGAGGACCGGAGUGGACGCAUCACUGGUGUUCGGGUUGUCAUGCCAAUGGCACUGCCCGGUAGCUAAAUGCGGAAGAGAUAAGUGCUGAAAGCAUCUAAGCACGAAACUUGCCCCGAGAUGAGUUCUCCCUGACUCCUUGAGAGUCCUGAAGGAACGUUGAAGACGACGACGUUGAUAGGCCGGGUGUGUAAGCGCAGCGAUGCGUUGAGCUAACCGGUACUAAUGAACCGUGAGGCUUAACCUU